AAGGGUCAUCGUAGGGUCAUCGAUUGGUCAUUGAAGGCAACAGUUACGAGGAUACCUUAGCAUUCGAAGGGACUAUCAUCUUUUAACCGUAGGCAACAUCGGAGGGUCAUCGAGGGACAAAGUUGUAUAUUCGAAGGCAACAUCCGAGGGACUAUAAUUUAUUUUAUGAUGAUUUAACCGAAGGGUCUUUGCUAAGGGUAUCCCCACGUUCGCGG
rnacentral:lncRNA from 1 species